CAUUAUAUUCUUUUUGGGAACACAGUAUCUAAAAAAGUAAGUAAUUACAAAAUAAUUUGAGAAGAGAGAGUACUGAUGAUGACUGUUAUGCUACCAGGGGUGCUGUGUUACAAUAUUUGGGUUUUUAAGUCUUUCUGAAUUCUUAGUGUUUAAUUUCUUUUGAAUCUCCAUAGCUGUUUGCUGUUCUGACUUCUCUAGAGAUCAAGCUUUCUGAGGAUUGCUGCUUCAGCUUCUGCCUGCUGCCCCCAAGCCCUGUACCUCUUUUCAGAGACUGGAGAUGUCGGAAGGAUGAUUCAGUGACUGUGCUGCACAGGGUACACAGUAAAACUUUCAGUGGGCUGGGCUUCUCUUUCUCCAUCACAAUUACAUCUGAUGAGAGUGGCAUGAAGGAAAGACAUCCAUGGCACAAUUUAGGUAAAGACCAGCCUACCCUGGAGGGGGGAACAUGAAACCUUCAUGUACCCUGGGGUGCAAAUAACUUGGUCUUGGCCAUAAAAAAGAUGACAAUGACCAAUAUUUCCAAGAUCCCAAGCCUAGAAGAAAGAAUACACUCAGCUGUGGUCACAGGUAUCCUGCAGGACCUGACCUCUUUGAAGACCAAAGGCAAUUGGGAAAAUAGCAUGUAAAACUAUAAGAGAUUUUAGUGAUCAUCUAAUUUGGGCCCCUCAUUCACAGAAGAAGAAACUGAGGCCUAGAGGAGGAAGUGAUCUACUUAAAAUGACACCAGACUCUUCUAUAAAUUAGAAACCCCCUCAGCUUUCCCUUUCCUCCAUUCUCCUUGGCUUUUAUAAACAAAACUAUGCCAGGUACCUUUUGGGGACUCUGGUAAAGUCUAUCGAGUCUUUCUUAAAAUAAUGUUUUUAAAUGAAUAAAAUAAAAUAUGUUGACUUAAAAAGAAAAGCA
rnacentral:lncRNA from 1 species